CGCUGCCCCCAUUCCCGCUGCUCCGGCCAACCACCCCUCUUCCGGCCACAGCAGCGCCGUCGUCCGCCCACCUCUACACCAACCGCCACUGCCGCGUCGCCGUGACCGCCGCUGCGCUCCCAUUCCCGCUGCUGCCGUCCAUCCCUCUUCCGCCCACCUCUGCUCUUUUUUCCCGCUGUCACAGUGACCGCCACUGCGCC
rnacentral:lncRNA from 1 species